rnacentral:rRNA from 1 species
UACGUAGGGUGCGAGCGUUGUCCGGAAUUAUUGGGCGUAAAGAGCUCGUAGGCGGCUUGUCACGUCGACUGUGAAAACCCGGGGCUCAACUCCGGGCCUGCAGUCGAUACGGGCUGGCUUGAAUCCGGGAGAGGGAUGCGGAAUUCCAGGUGUAGCGGUGAAAUGCGUAGAUAUCUGGAGGAACACCGGUGGCGAAGGCGGCAUCCUGGACCGGCAUUGACGCUGAGGCGCGAAAGCCAGGGGAGCAAACAGG